UAGAAUAUUUUCAACAUGUUGCUCUAAG
rnacentral:sRNA from 1 species